rnacentral:misc_RNA from 1 species
GAUGAAGAACGCAGCGAAAUGCGAUAAGUAAUGUGAAUUGCAGAAUUCAGUGAAUCAUCGAAUCUUUGAACGCACAUUGCGCCCGCCAGUAUUCUGGCGGGCAUGCCUGUUCGAGCGUCAUUUCAACCAUCAAGCCCCCGGGCUUGCGUUGGGGACCUGCGGCUGCCGCAGGCCCUGAAAAGCAGUGGCGGGCUCGCUGUCACACCGAGCGUAGUAGAUUUUAUCUCGCUCAGGGCGUGCUGCGGGUUCCGGCCGUUAAACCACCUUCAUAACCCAAGGUUGACCUCGGAUCAGGUAGGAAGACCCGCUGAACUUAAGCAUAUCAAUAAGCGGAGGA